UACGAAGGGGGCUAGCGUUGCUCGGAAUUACUGGGCGUAAAGGGAGCGUAGGCGGACAGUUAAGUCAGUGGUGAAAGCCCAGGGCUCAACCCUGGAAUUGCCUUUGAUACUGACUGUCUUGAGUAUGGGAGAGGUAUGCGGAACUCCGAGUGUAGAGGUGAAAUUCGUAGAUAUUCGGAAGAACACCAGUGGCGAAGGCGGCAUACUGGCCCAUUACUGACGCUGAGGCUCGAAAGCGUGGGGAGCAAACAGGAUUAGAUACCCUGGUAGUCCACGCUGUAAACGAUGAGUGCUAGUUGUCGGCAUGCAUGCAUGUCGGUGACGCAGCUAACGCAUUAAGCACUCCGCCUGGGGAGUACGGUCGCAAGAUUA
rnacentral:rRNA from 1 species